rnacentral:tRNA from 1 species
GCACCCAUGGCCGAGUGGUCCCAGACUACCAAUCUGGAGGUCACGGGUUCGAGUCCGUGUGGCGGUA